AAAAAAAAUAUUUUGGAGGACCAUAUCUGUUCGUAAAAUAAACUUAAAAAUUUGAAAAAAAUUAUUAUGUCAGAUAAAAUUGUUUGUCGAAAAAUUUCAAAAUAUAACAAAACAAUAAUUCAUCAAAAUCGUAAUUCAGAGAAAUUGGACGAUGAUUAUCAUCGUGGUAUAAUAUUCGUGGAUUCAAUGCGAACGGAACUGUGGGAAAAGCUAGUAAUAUAUAAAACUGGAUUAUCGGAUACGAGAGCAAAAGUUUAAUUUAAGAUUAUUUAAAAGUAAAGGAUUUAGUAAUUAAUAAGACAAUACAAAUUAUAGAGAAGGAUUCCAAAAAAUGUA